UACGUAGGGUGCGAGCGUUGCCCGGAUUUAUUGGGCGUAAAGGGCGCGUAGGCGGCUCUGCACGUCCGUUGUGAAAUCGCCCGGCUCAACUGGGCGGGGUCAGCGGAUACGGCGGAGCUUGAGCAAGCUAGGGGGCAAUGGAAUUCCCGGUGUAGUGGUGGAAUGCGUAGAUAUCGGGAGGAACACCAGUGGCGAAGGCGGUUGCCUGGAGCUUUGCUGACGCUGAUGCGCGAAAGCGUGGGGAGCGAUCCGG
rnacentral:rRNA from 1 species